AGUCUAGCGGCAGCACGGGGAGCUUGCUCCCUGGUGGCGAGCGGCGGAGGGGUGAGUAAUGCAUAGGAAUCUGCCCGGUAGUGGGGGAUAACGUGGGGAAACCCACGCUAAUACCGCAUACGUCCUACGGGAGAAAGCGGAGGAUCUUCGGACUUCGCGCUAUCGGAUGAGCCUAUGUCAGAUUAUCUAGUUGGUAAGGUAACGGCUUACCAAGGCGACCAUCCGUACCUGGUCUGAGAGGAUGAUCAACCGCCCUGGGACUGAUACCCGGCCCACACUCCUCCGGGAGGCAGCAGUGGGGAAUAUUGGACAAUGGGCGAAAGCCUGAUCCAGCCAUGCCGCGUGUGUGAAGAAGGUUUUCGGGUUGUAAAGCCCUUUCUUCGAGGAAAAAAGCCUGGUGGUUAAUACCCAUCACGAAGGACAUCACUCCCAAAAAAAUCACCGGCUAACUCCGUAGCCAGCAGCCGGGGUAAUACUGGAGGGAUGCUAGUCGUUAAUCGAAAUUACUGGGCGUAAAGCGCGCGUAGGUGGCUUGGCCCCCCGGUUGUGAAAUCCCCGGGCUCAACCUGGGAACGGCAUCCGGAACGGCCAGGCUAGAGUGCAGGAGAGGAAGGUAGAAUUCCCGGUGUACCGCUGAAAUUCGUAAAGAUCGGGAGGAAUACCUGUGGCGAAGGCGGCUCUCUUGCCUGACACUGACACUGAGGUGUGAAAGUGUGGGUAGCAAACAAGAUUAGAUUUCCUGGUAGUUCUUGCCGUAAAUGAUGUCGAAUAGCCGUUGGGACCUUUAAGGACUUAGUGGCGCAGUUAACGCGAUAAGUCGACCGCCUGGGGAGUACGGCCGCAAGGUUAAAACUCAAAUGAAUUGACGGGGGCCCGCACAAGCGGUGGAGCAUGUGGUUUAAUUAGAUGCAACGAGAAGAACCUUACCUACCCUUGACAUCCUGCGAAUUUGGUAGAGAUACCUUAGUGCUUUCGGGAGGGCAGUGUCCGGUGUUGCAUGGCUGUCGUCAGCUUGUGUUGUGAAAUGUUGGGUUAAGUCCCGUAACGAGCGCAACCCUUGUCCUUAUUUGCCAGCACGUAAUGGUGGGAAAUUUAAGGAGACUGCCGGUGACAAACCGGAGGAAGGUGGGGGGGACGUCAAGUCAUCCUGGCCCUUUCGGGUAGGGCUACACACGUGUUACAAUGGCCGGUUCAAAGGGUUGUGAGACCGCGAGGUGGAGAGAAUCCCAGAAAGCCGGCCUCAGUCCGGAUCGGAGUUUGCAACUUGACUCCGUGAAGUCGGAAUCGCUAGUAAUCGUGAAUCAGAAUGUCACGGUGAAUACGUUCCCGGGCCUUGUACACACCUCCCUUCACCCCAUGGGAGUGGACUGCACCAGAAUAGGUUAGGUUAACCUUCGCGGGA
rnacentral:rRNA from 1 species